rnacentral:misc_RNA from 1 species
GCUGACCCAAAGAAUCCUGCAACAUAAAGCGCAUUCCUCCAUCCACAAAAUAAAAGGGCGAGUUAGUCAACAAGAAAAGUUUCUUUCCUUUAUCCUUCAGCAUCCUUAGAAAGCGUAGUAGCUGAUCAUUCUUUACAAGGUAUCUGGGGGGAUCAGCAAGAAUUCCUCUGUGAACUAACCCGCUAUUAUGAACAUACUGUAUCGCUCGAUUCACAUCUUCAUAUACGUAACGAGCAUCAAAUUCCAAUUUAGCGUCAACAAAAUGUUGCACAAUAUCAGCAAUAAGGCAUGCCUCACUGAAACAAAAGAAAUCCAUCAAACAAACAAGUUCUCGUGCUUGAUCACGGCCAAUAUGUCUUGUACCAUACAUCUCAUCUAUUUCCUCACGGCUGAGCUUGCGCCUGCCAUAGUAGCACCCGUCAAGCUCAAUUGACCCAAAAAAGUCCAACUUCAUAAGACAACCCUUUGAUUUGUCAUAGUAUAACCCUCUGAUGGGAAAAGUUGGAUCAUACUUGAACUCCAAGCAAGUAUCAGGAUAUUUGAACUCAUUCACUAAUUGCUGUUUUGCAAGUUCGUAAAUCAAGCACUGUAAAUUGGAGGAGUAAUGCGCCAACGUGUAAUCAUAGUCAAAUCCAUAGACUUGUAUGCUGUCCAACCGCACGUUCUUAUUAACGUAUAUACCUUUAGGAUUCAUUUUGGGCAUUUGUUUCA